AGAGUUUGAUCCUGGCUCAGGAUGAACGCUAGCUACAGGCUUAACACAUGCAAGUCGAGGGGCAUCAGGAAGAAAGCUUGCUUUCUUUGCUGGCGACCGGCGCACGGGUGAGUAACACGUAUCCAACCUGCCCUUUACUCGGGGAUAGCCUUUCGAAAGAAAGAUUAAUACCCGAUAGCAUAAUGAUUCCGCAUGGUUUCAUUAUUAAAGGAUUCCGGUAAAGGAUGGGGAUGCGUUCCAUUAGGUUGUUGGUGAGGUAACGGCUCACCAAGCCUUCGAUGGAUAGGGGUUCUGAGAGGAAGGUCCCCCACAUUGGAACUGAGACACGGUCCAAACUCCUACGGGAGGCAGCAGUGAGGAAUAUUGGUCAAUGGGCGCUAGCCUGAACCAGCCAAGUAGCGUGAAGGAUGAAGGCUCUAUGGGUCGUAAACUUCUUUUAUAUAAGAAUAAAGUGCAGUAUGUAUACUGUUUUGUAUGUAUUAUAUGAAUAAGGAUCGGCUAACUCCGUGCCAGCAGCCGCGGUAAUACGGAGGAUCCGAGCGUUAUCCGGAUUUAUUGGGUUUAAAGGGAGCGUAGGUGGACUGGUAAGUCAGUUGUGAAAGUUUGCGGCUCAACCGUAAAAUUGCAGUUGAUACUGUCAGUCUUGAGUACAGUAGAGGUGGGCGGAAUUCGUGGUGUAGCGGUGAAAUGCUUAGAUAUCACGAAGAACUCCGAUUGCGAAGGCAGCUCACUGGACUGCAACUGACACUGAUGCUCGAAAGUGUGGGUAUCAAACAGGAUUAGAUACCCUGGUAGUCCACACAGUAAACGAUGAAUACUCGCUGUUUGCGAUAUACAGUAAGCGGCCAAGCGAAAGCAUUAAGUAUUCCACCUGGGGAGUACGCCGGCAACGGUGAAACUCAAAGGAAUUGACGGGGGCCCGCACAAGCGGAGGAACAUGUGGUUUAAUUCGAUGAUACGCGAGGAACCUUACCCGGGCUUAAAUUGCAGUGGAAUGAUGUGGAAACAUGUCAGUGAGCAAUCACCGCUGUGAAGGUGCUGCAUGGUUGUCGUCAGCUCGUGCCGUGAGGUGUCGGCUUAAGUGCCAUAACGAGCGCAACCCUUAUCUUCAGUUACUAACAGGU
rnacentral:rRNA from 3 species